GAUGAACGCUAGCGGCAGGCCUAAUACAUGCAAGUCGAACGGGCGGUCGCAAGACCACUUGUGGCGCACGGGUGCGUAACGCGUAACCAACCUGCCCCGAUCUGGGGGUUAGCCCGCCGAAAGGCGGAUUAAUACCGCAUAUACCCGCAGCCUGGCAUCAGGCAACGGGGAAAGAUUUAUUGGAUCGGGAUGGGGUUGCGUGGCAUGAGCUAGUUGGCGGGGUAAGGGCCCACCGAGGCGACGAUGUCUAGGGGACCUGAGAGGGUGAUCCCCCACACUGGGACUGGGAUCCGGGCCAGACUCCUACGGGAGGCAGCAGUAGGGAAUAUUGGGCAGUGGGCGAGAGCCUGACCCAGCCAUGCCGCGUGCCGGAUGAAGGCCUUCUGGGUUGUAAACGGCUUUUCUCAGGGAAGAAAAAGACCUUGCGAGGUACACUGACGGUACCUGAGGAAUAAGCACCGGCUAACUCCGUG
rnacentral:rRNA from 1 species